AGCGAACGCUGGCGGCAGGCCUAACACAUGCAAGUCGAACAGAUCCUUCGGGAUUAGUGGCGGACGGGUGAGUAACACGUGGGAACGUGCCCUUUGGUUCGGAACAACUCAGGGAAACUUGAGCUAAUACCGGAUGUGCCCUUCGGGGGAAAGAUUUAUCGCCAUUGGAGCGGCCCGCGUCUGAUUAGCUAGUUGGUGAGGUAACGGCCCACCAAGGCGACGAUCAGUAGCUGGUCUGAGAGGAUGAUCAGCCACACUGGGACUGAGACACGGCCCAGACUCCUACGGGAGGCAGCAGUGGGGAAUCUUGCGCAAUGGGCGAAAGCCUGACGCAGCCAUGCCGCGUGAAUGAUGAAGGUCUUAGGAUUGUAAAAUUCUUUCAGCGGGGACGAUAAUGACGGUACCCGCAGAAGAAGCUCCGGCUAACUUCGUG
rnacentral:rRNA from 1 species